rnacentral:rRNA from 1 species
AGUAAACGCUGGCGGUAGGCCUAACACAUGCAAGUCGAACGGCAGCACAGUAAGAGCUUGCCCUUACGGGUGGCGAGUGGCGGACGGGUGAGGAAUACAUCGGAAUCUACUUUUUCGUGGGGGAUAACGUAGGGAAACUUACGCUAAUACCGCAUACGACCUACGGGUGAAAGCAGGGGAUCUUCGGACCUUGCGCGAUUGAAUGAGCCGAUGUCGGAUUAGCUAGUUGGCGGGGUAAAGGCCCACCAAGGCGACGAUCCGUAGCUGGUCUGAGAGGAUGAUCAGCCACACUGGAACUGAGACACGGUCCAGACUCCUACGGGAGGCAGCAGUGGGGAAUAUUGGACAAUGGGCGCAGGCCUGAUCCAGCCAUACCGCGUGGGUGAAGAAGGCCUUCGGGUUGUAAAGCCCUUUUGUUGGGAAAGAAAAGCAGCAGGUUAAUACCCCGCUGUUCUGACGGUACCCAAAGAAUAAGCACCGGCUAACUUCGUG